rnacentral:lncRNA from 12 species
CUAAAAAAUUAUAUCAUAAUGAGUUGUUUUCUCUGUGUUACAUAUUUAAAGGAGGCAGCACCUGGCCAAUUUGAAACUCAUGGUCAGUUCAAACAGUGGGAAUUCUGUUCACUGUGAAAAGCUGGUAAUCAAAAUAUGUUAAACGGCACACAGCUACAUUUACAUUAUCUCCUUUGAAAUGGUAGAAUUUUAAAACUGAAAAGGACCUUGGAAAUCAUCUAAUCUGAUACUGUCAUUUAAAAUCAAGGAAAUGGAGGCCUAGAGAGGUAAAAACAAGCAAGUAGGGAAGCAACUAACCAAGCAAAUAAAAUAAAAACAAAGUUUAAAUUUCAUUCACAGCUUCUUACUUUGAUUCAGCACCUCCUUUCUGUAUUCUAUCUUCUCACCAACAACAUUGUAUUGCAUGUGUGGUCUUUCCUACUAGACUGUGAGCAAUCUGAGGACCAGGACUGUUCUUAUUCAGUGUUGUUGUGGAUUGUUUUUUGUUUUUGUUUUUUUGUUUUGUUUUGUUUUGUUUUGUAAAACAUUUUAAUUAUUGCAGUAAAAUAUAUGUAACAAACUUUUCCAUUCUGAUCAUUUUAAAAUAUAUAAUUCAGGGCAUUAAUUACAUUCACAAUGUUGUGUAACCAUUGCCAGGAUCUAUUUUUAAAAUGUCUUAUUCAAGUUUUGUAUCCUUAUCACAGUGCAUGGCACAAGUGUGAUUUUAAUCAAUACUUAUUAAAUGAACUGUUGAAAUGAUGCAUGAAUUAAUCCAGCAGUCUAGAGGUUGACUAUAAAUACACAACAAUUAAGAUUUCCUUUUCUGCUAUGCAAAACAGUGACAGAGAAUAGAGACAGUACAAUUUAAACAAGCUUUAGAGAGUAGAAGAAUCAAAUGGAAUAUCUUUAGAAAGAGAAUCUAUGCUAAUGAGGAACCAGGGCAUGCUUUUGAUGAAGCUACACAACAGUACUCAAUGACCUCCAUAAACAGGUGAUAAAUUCCUUUGCUAAGAAAUAAACUUUCAAAGGAGGUGGACCUGUUAGCCUUU